ACUCCUACGGGAGGCAGCAGUGGGGAAUAUUGCACAAUGGGCGCAAGCCUGAUGCAGCCAUGCCGCGUGUAUGAAGAAGGCCUUCGGUUGUAAGUANCUUUCAGCAGUGAGGAAGGUGGGUAUGUUAAUAGCAUACUCAUUUGACGUUAGCUGCAGAAGAAGCACCGGCUAACUCCGUGCCAGCAGCCGCGGUAAUACGGAGGGUGCGAGCGUUAAUCGGAAUUACUGGGCGUAAAGCGCAUGCAGGUGGUUUGUUAAGUCAGAUGUGAAAGCCCGGGGCUCAACCUCGGAAUUGCAUUUGAAACUGGCAAACUAGAGUACUGUAGAGGGGUGG
rnacentral:rRNA from 1 species